rnacentral:rRNA from 1 species
GAUGAACGCUAGCGGCAGGCUUAACACAUGCAAGUCGAGGGGUAUAGGAAGCUUGCUUCCUAGAGACCGGCGCACGGGUGCGUAACGCGUAUGCAACCUACCUUUUACAGAGGGAUAGCCCAGAGAAAUUUGGAUUAAUACCUCAUAGUAUAUGUUUUUCGCAUGUUAGACAUAUUAAAGUAACAACGGUAAAAGAUGGGCAUGCGUCCUAUUAGCUAGAUGGUAAGGUAACGGCUUACCAUGGCAACGAUAGGUAGGGGUCCUGAGAGGGAGAUCCCCCACACUGGUACUGAGACACGGACCAGACUCCGACGGGAGGCAGCAGUGAGGAAUAUUGGACAAUGGGCGCAAGCCUGAUCCAGCCAUGCCGCGUGCAGGAAGAAGCAUCUAUGGUGUGUAAACUGCUUUUGUACGGGAAGAAACACUCCCUCGUGAGGGAGCUUGGCGGUACCGUAAGAAUAAGGAUCGGCUAACUCCGUGCCAGCCGCCGCCGUAAUAC